UGACUCUGGUAGUUAUCUAAUGUAAAAAAAAAGUUUUUGCUUACCUAGAGUAGAUACAUUAUUUACCACUGGACUUCAACCAAUGUGAACUUUGCAGAAUUUUCUCUAUUCUUAUUUUUCCUCUGGGAUUUGGCUUAGUUUCUAGGAAGGAUUUUGGAUAUCUGCUACCAUACCACCAUCUUUUCUGGAAGUCUGUUUAUAAUAAAUUUCAGGUUGGCUAAGUGCUGUGCUCUGCAUCCUCCUCUCUCCAGGACCCACGCAGACAGAGUAGUCACUAUCUGGAACACAGAGGUUUUGGUGACAAAGCAAAAAGAGAAAGCAUGGCAAAUUGCGUACAGGCUCUUAAAGGUUCUGAAAACUUCCAUUCACACUUCAUUGGCCAAAGCUGUGACUUAUCUCAAGUCAGCAAGGAAGUGUAAUUCUCCAGUGUGCCCGGAAGAGGAGUAGAACCGGAAAUACGAAUGAGCGACAGUAACAUCUCCUAGAGGGGGUCUGUGAGCAACCUGGAAUUCCGUGUGAAGUCUACAGCACAUUACAUCCUUCUGUGUAAUGGAAGUAUCCACACAUGGACAAUCGCUGUCUACAGAUGUAAUGAACCAAGUGGGAGCUGAGGCUUGCCCACAUUCUGGGGGAAGUCUGCCAACUGUUCCCUGAAUGGUGAAUGGAAACAAGCUGGUCUGCUGUGUUGCUUGGCAAAGACAGAAUAGCAGCACAGGCUUGCUGCUGGCUGGACGACACCAUUUUCCACUCCUCUGCUCCUCUGCCUGGAGGAAGCCCCCAGGUGGCAUUAGGGAGAAUUAGCGUGUAAAUUACAGGGCCUCCUAAUUUCUCACCACUUCAUUAGUUGACAGUUCAGUGAAAGAGCUCCCCUGCCAUUCACCUCACGUCUGUGGCACUGACACUUCUCAUCAGCAGAAGCAGAGUUCAGUCGUGUUGUGUUGACAUGCUUGUGACUUUUCGGUUCCCCUCCUUAGUGUGUGCUAGUUUAUUCUCUGACCCUGUUACUAGCAAUUAUGUCCUUGGAUGUCCCUGCAACAUCUACCUCAAACCUUCUUUUGGUUCAAACUUGAUUCAGUGUCACCAGGAAAAGUUAGAAAUUGCUCUUGAUCCUGUCCAUACCGUUUUACAGAAUGGGUUCAAACUAUGCCACAAAGAAAGGAAA
rnacentral:lncRNA from 1 species